AAAUUGAAGAGUUUGAUCAUGGCUCAGAUUGAACGCUGGCGGCAGGCCUAACACAUGCAAGUCGAACGGUAACAGGAAGCAGCUUGCUGCUUCGCUGACGAGUGGCGGACGGGUGAGUAAUGUCUGGGAAACUGCCUGAUGGAGGGGGAUAACUACUGGAAACGGUAGCUAAUACCGCAUAACGUCGCAAGACCAAAGAGGGGGACCUUCGGGCCUCUUGCCAUC
rnacentral:rRNA from 3 species